UUCCAUGUUUGCCAAGAGUCCUCGAGACAUCGUGCCACCGAACGAAAAAUGACGCAUGCCGCGCACGCAUCGAUCUUGAUCUUGAUCGGACGGCUAUUGAUGUCGAUCGACCGAGCAACAUCGCAUGGUUGAUAGCUUUGAUAUCACACACAGAUAGGCAUACACACAGAUAGAGAGAUAGAGAGAGAGCAUCAUCGAUCGAUCAGCGGCAAUGCUGGCCCCGAUCGCAAGGACCAACCCAUGGUCCCUGGCACAAGCGCACCACGCCCAGGGCCCGGCCGCCGACGCGGGCGCCN
rnacentral:lncRNA from 1 species